AUUGAACGCUGGCGGCAUGCCUUACACAUGCAAGUCGAACGGUAACAGGUCUUCGGACGCUGACGAGUGGCGAACGGGUGAGUAAUACAUCGGAACGUGCCCAGUCGUGGGGGAUAACUACUCGAAAGAGUAGCUAAUACCGCAUACGAUCUGAGGAUGAAAGCGGGGGACCUUCGGGCCUCGCGCGAUUGGAGCGGCCGAUGGCAGAUUAGGUAGUUGGUGGGAUAAAAGCUUACCAAGCCGACGAUCUGUAGCUGGUCUGAGAGGACGACCAGCCACACUGGGACUGAGACACGGCCCAGACUCCUACGGGAGGCAGCAGUGGGGAAUUUUGGACAAUGGGCGAAAGCCUGAUCCAGCAAUGCCGCGUGCAGGAUGAAGGCCUUCGGGUUGUAAACUGCUUUUGUACGGAACGAAAAAGCUCCUUCUAAUACAGGGGGCCCAUGACGGUACCGUAAGAAUAAGCACCGGCUAACUACGUGCCAGCAGCCGCCGCCG
rnacentral:rRNA from 1 species